rnacentral:miRNA from 1 species
GUUGGUCGGUUGUGCUUAGAGA